rnacentral:rRNA from 2 species
AGAGUUUGAUCCUGGCUCAGGAUGAACGCUGGCGGCGUGCUUAACACAUGCAAGUCGAACGGAUAAUUGGGUGUUAGACAAUGGGCGUUGAUUAAAAUAUUAAUUAAUUCUUAUUGUCUAAUACUUGAUUGUUAGUGGCGAACGGGUGAGUAAUGCGUAGGCAAUCUACCUGUUAGUGGGGGAUAACAUUUGGAAACGAAUGCUAAUACCGCAUGAUGGUUUGGAGUCGCAUGAUUUCAGAUUCAAAGGAGCAAUUCGCUAACAGAUGAGCUUACGUCCGAUUAGCCAGUUGGUGAGGUAACGGCUCACCAAAGCUAUGAUCGGUAGCCGGACUGAGAGGUUGGCCGGCCACAUUGGGACUGAGACACGGCCCAGACUCCUACGGGAGGCAGCAGUGGGGAAUUUUGCACAAUGGAGGAAACUCUGAUGCAGCAACGCCGCGUGGAGGAUGAAGGUUUUCGGAUUGUAAACUUCUGUUCUUGGUGAAGAAAAAAAUGACGGUAGCCAAGGAGUAAGCUCCGGCUAACUACGUGCCAGCAGCCGCGGUAAUACGUAGGGAGCAAGCGUUAUCCGGAUUUAUUGGGUGUAAAGGGUGCGUAGGCGGCGAUAUAAGUCAAGCGUUAAAUCCCCGGGCUUAACUCGGAAGAUGCGUUUGAAACUAUGUCGCUUGAGUGAAGUAGAGGCAAGCGGAAUUUCCAGUGUAGCGGUGAAAUGCGUAGAUAUUGGAAGGAACACCAGUGGCGAAGGCGGCUCGCUGGGCUUUAACAGACGCUGAGGCACGAAAGCAUGGGGAGCAAACAGGAUUAGAUACCCUGGUAGUCCAUGCUGUAAACGAUGAUUACUAGGUGUGGGAGGGCUGACCCUUUCCGUGCCGGAGUUAACACAAUAAGUAAUCCACCUGGGGAGUACGGCCGCAAGGUUGAAACUCAAAGGAAUUGACGGGGGCCCGCACAAGCAGUGGAGUAUGUGGUUUAAUUCGACGAUACGCGAAGAACCUUACCAAAUCUUGACAUCCAACUAACGAGGCAGAAAUGCAUUAGGUGCCCUUUAUGGGAAAGUUGAGACAGGUGGUGCAUGGUUGUCGUCAGCUCGUGUCGUGAGAUGUUGGGUUAAGUCCCGCAACGAGCGCAACCCUUGCAAUUAGUUGCUACGCAAGAGCACUCUAAUUGGACUGCCGUUGAUAAAACGGAGGAAGGUGGGGAUGAUGUCAAAUCAUCAUGCCCUUUAUGAUUUGGGCUACACACGUACUACAAUGGUCGAAACAAAGGGAAGCGAUGGAGCGAUCCUCAGCUAAUCCCCAAAAGCGGUCUCAGUUCAGAUUGCAGGCUGAAAUUCGCCUGUAUGAAGAUGGAAUUGCUAGUAAUCGCGAAUCAGCAUGUCGCGGUGAAUACGUUCCCGGGCCUUGUACACACCGCCCGUCACACCAUGGGAGUUAGCAAUACCUGAAGUCAAUAUCCUAACCGCAAGGAGGGAGUUGCCUAAGGUAGGGUUGACGACUGGGGUGAAGUCGUAACAAGGUAACCGUA